CCAAGCUACAAAGAGCCAACGGUGGAUGCCUUGGCGACUACUACCGAAGAAGGACGUGGAUGGCUGCGAAAAGCCACGGUGAGCUGCCUAUCAAGCUACGACCCGUGGAUGUCCGAAUGGGGAAACCCGGCACCUGUUAAGGGGUGUCACUCCGACUUGAACACAUAGAGUCGGUAGAGGGAACUGGGUGAACUGAAACAUCUCAUUAACCCAAGGAAAAGAAAGCAACAGCGACUCCCUGAGUAGCGGCGAGCGAAACGGGAAGAGCCUAAACCUGGCUGGUGGCAAGCCUGACGGUAUUGCCAGCUGGGGGUUGUGGGACCAGAUAGGAGGAGCGUCAGAUCCUCCACAAAGUUACAAAUUUGUCAGUUAGCAGAAGCACAUUGGAAAAGUGCGCCAUAGAAGGUAAUAGCCCUGUAAGCGAAAACUGAACAAACUUUGUUCUGUGUUCCCGAGUAGCACCGGAUCCGGGAAAGCCGGUGUGAAUCUGCGAGGACCACCUCGUAAGGCUAAGUAUAAGUAGUCGACCGAUAGCGAACUAGUACCGUGAGGGAAAGGUGAAAAGUACCCCGUGAGGGGAGUGAAAUAGUACCUGAAACCGUUGGUUUACAAUCAGUCAAAGCGUCGUUUCAAGCUUCGGCUUGAAGCCGCAAUGGCGUGCCUUUUGAAGAAUGAGCCUACGAGUUACGGUGUGUGGCAAGGUUAACCCGUGAGGGGAAGCCGGAGCGAAAGCGAGUCUGAACAGGGCGUUCAGUCGCAUGCUGUAGACCCGAAGCCGAGUGAUCUAUCCAUGGGCAGUGUGAAGCGGAGGUAAGACUCCGUGGAGGCGCGAACCGACCUAGGUUGAAAACUGGGCGGAUGACCUGUGGAUAGGGGUGAAAGGCCAAUCAAACUCGGUGAUAGCUGGUUCUCCGCGAAAUGCAUUUAGGUGCAGCGUCGCGUGUUCAGCCAUGGAGGUAGAGCACUGGAUGGGUUAGGGGGCCUACAAGCUUACCAACCCCAGCCAAACUCCGAAUGCCAUGGCUUAAAAGUGCGGCAGUGAGUCCUCGGGGGAUGAGCUUCGAUGGACGAAAGGGAAACAGCCCAGACCGCCGACUAAGGUCCCAAAGUUCUAACUAAGUGGUAAACGAAGUGGGAUUGCCAAGACAGCCAGGAUGUUGGCUUAGAAGCAGCCAUCAUUAAAAGAGUGCGUAACAGCUCACUGGUCAAGUGGUCCCGCGCGGAAAAUGUAACGGGGCUAAAGUUAGGCACCGAAGUCGCGGAUUUCUGCUUAUGCAGGAGUGGUAGCGGAGCGUCGAGCUCGGAUUGAAGCAGCGGUGUAAACCGUUGUGGACUGAGCUCGAGUGAGAAUGUAGGUAUGAGUAGCGAGAGAGGGGUGAGAAACCCCUCCGCCGGAAGUCCAAGGGUUCCUGGGGAAGGCUAAUCCUCCCAGGGUAAGUCGGGAGCUAAGGCGAGGCCGAGAGGCGUAGUCGAUGCACAACCGGUUGAUAUUCCGGUACCACGGAUUGCGCGUAAAACGUCGACCCAAAGUGCUAAGGGGAUGUCUGAUCCUUCGGGAUCAGAAGGAACUUGAACCACUCUGGCAAGACGAGUGAAGCGGGGACACAGGAAGGUAGGUGAACCCAGGCGAUGGUUGUCCUGGGGCAAGCGUGUAGGUCGGGGCGUAGGUAAGUCCGCUCCCCAUUAAGACUGAGACGUGAAGCCGAGCCGUUUAAGGCGAAGUCACUGAUCCUAUGCUGUCGAGAAAAGCCGCUAGCGAGUGCAAUCGGUGCCCGUACCCCAAACCAACUCAGGUGGACAGGUAGAGAAUACUAAGGCGAUUGGGAGAACUAUGGUUAAGGAACUCGGCAAAUUGCAUCCGUAACUUCGGGAGAAGGAUGACCUUGCUAGGGUGACAAACUUUUCGUUUGUAGCCCGAAGAGGUGACACAAACCAGGGGAAAGCGACUGUUUACUAAAAACACAGCAGCGUGCUAAGUCCUAAGACGACGUAUACGCUGUGACGCCUGCCCGGUGCCGGAAGGUUACGGGGAAGGGUUAGCCUUCGGGCGAAGCUCUGAACCUAAGCCCCGGUAAACGGCGGCCGUAACUAUAACGGUCCUAAGGUAGCGAAAUUCCUUGUCGGGUAAGUUCCGACCUGCACGAAUGGCGUAACGAC
rnacentral:rRNA from 1 species